AUUAAGUUGGCAGAUCAAUGCACCUGUCUUAGGCUCAGUUUAUGUGAACCACUUCACACUUAAUA
rnacentral:tRNA from 1 species